AACGAACGCUGGCGGCAGGCUUAACACAUGCAAGUCGAGCGCCCCGCAAGGGGAGCGGCAGACGGGUGAGUAACGCGUGGGAAUCUACCGUACCCUACGGAAUAGCUCCGGGAAACUGGAAUUAAUACCGUAUACGCCCUACGGGGGAGAGAUUUAUCGGGGUAUGAUGAGCCCGCGUUGGAUUAGCUAGUUGGUGGGGUAAAGGCCUACCAAGGCGACGAUCCAUAGCUGGUCUGAGAGGAUGAUCAGCCACAUAGGGACUGAGACACGGCCAAAACUUCUACGGGGGGCAGCAGGGGGGAAUAUUGAACAAUGGGCGCAAGCCUGAUCCAGCCAGGCCGCGUGGGUGAUGAAGGUCUUAGGAUUGUAAAGCUCUUUCACCGAUGAAGAUAAUGACGGUAGUCGGAGAAGAAGCCCCGGCUAACUUCGUGCCAGCCGCCGCGGUAA
rnacentral:rRNA from 1 species